rnacentral:rRNA from 1 species
GGGGGAUAUUGCGCAAUGGGGGCAACCCUGACGCAGCAACGCCGCGUGAAGGAUGAAGGUUUUCGGAUUGUAAACUUCUUUUAUUAAGGACGAAACUUGACGGUACUUAAUGAAUAAGCUCCGGCUAACUACGUGCCAGCAGCCGCGGUAAUACGUAGGGAGCAAGCGUUGUCCGGAUUUACUGGAUGUAAAGGGUGCGUAGGCGGCUUUGCAAGUCAGAUGUGAAAUCUAUGGGCUCAACCCAUAAACUGCAUUUGAAACUGUAGAGCUUGAGUGAAGUAGAGGCAGGCGGAAUUCCCCGUGUAGCGGUGAAAUGCGUAGAGAUGGGGAGGAACACCAGUGGCGAAGGCGGCCUGCUGGGCUUUAACUGACGCUGAGGCACGAAAGCGUGGGUAGCAAACAGGAUUAGAUACCCUGGUAGUCCACGCUGUAAACGAUGAUUACUAGGUGUGGGGGGUCUGACCCCUUCCGUGCCGGAGUUAACACAAUAAGUAAUCCACCUGGGGAGUACGGCCGCAAGGUUGAAACUCAAAGGAAUUGACGGGGGCCCGCACAAGCAGUGGAGUAUGUGGUUUAAUUCGAAGCAACGCGAAGAACCUUACCAGGUCUUGACAUCCAACUAACGAAGUAGAGAUACAUUAGGUGCCCUUCGGGGAAAGUUGAGACAGGUGGUGCAUGGUUGUCGUCAGCUCGUGUCGUGAGAUGUUGGGUUAAGUCCCGCAACGAGCGCAACCCUUGCUAUUAGUUGCUACGCAAGAGCACUCUAAUAGGACUGCCGUUGACAAAACGGAGGAAGGUGGGGACGACGUCAAAUCAUCAUGCCCCUUAUGACCUGGGCUACACACGUACUACAAUGGAUGUUAACAGAGGGAAGCAAGACAGCGAUGUGGAGCAAACCCCUAAAAACAUUCUCAGUUCAGAUUGCAGGCUGCAACCCGCCUGCAUGAAGAUAGAAUUGCUAGUAAUCGCGGAUCAGCAUGCCGCGGUGAAUACGUUCCCG